UACGUAGGGCGCGAGCGUUGUCCGGAAUUAUUGGGCGUAAAGAGCUCGUAGGCGGCUUGUCGCGUCGGAUGUGAAAGCCCCGGGGCUUAACUCCGGGUCUGCAUUCGAUACGGGCAGGCUAGAGUUCGGUAGGGGGAGAUCGGAAUUCCUGGUGUAGCGGUGAAAUGCGCAGAUAUCAGGAGGAACACCGGUGGCGAAGGCGGAUCUCUGGGCCGAUACUGACGCUGAGGAGCGAAAGCGUGGGGAGCGAACAGG
rnacentral:rRNA from 1 species